AACGUAGGUGGCGAGCGUUAUCCGGAUUUACUGGGCGUAAAGGGCUCGUAGGCGGCCAACUAAGUCGGAUGUGAAAUCCCCAGGCUCAACCUGGGAACUGCAUCCGAUACUGGAUGGCUUGAAUCCGGGAGAGGGAUGCAGAAUUCCAGGUGUAGCGGUGAAAUGCGUAGAUAUCGGGAGGAACACCUGUGGCGAAAGCGGCGCACUGGACCACAUCUGACGCUGAGGCGCGAAAGCAUGGGGAGCGAACGGG
rnacentral:rRNA from 1 species